GGGUACUACGAGCAUAAGCUUAAAACCCAAAGGACUUGGCGGUGCUUUAGAUCCACCUAGAGGAGCCUGUUCUAGAACCGAUAAUCCCCGUUCAACCUCACCUUCCCUUGCCCUCCCCGCCUAUAUACCGCCGUCGUCAGCUUACCCUGUGAAGGAAAAAUAGUAAGCAUAAUUGGUAAAACCCAAAACGCCAGGUCGAGGUGUAGCAUAUGAGAAGGGAAGAAAUGGGCUACAUUUCCUUUUUAAGGAAACACGGAUUGUGCCAUGAAACUAGCACAUGAAGGAGGAUUUAGCAGUAAGUAAGAAAAAGAACGUCUUACUGAACUUGGCCCUGAAGCGCGCACACACCGCCCGUCACUCUCCCCGAACCAAUACACCUCUUUCUUAAAAAACUAGACGGAUAAAGGGGAGGCAAGUCGUAACAUGGUAAGUGUACCGGAAGGUGCACUUGGAAAAAA
rnacentral:rRNA from 1 species